rnacentral:lncRNA from 1 species
CCAAUCCCAAAUCCUUCUUCUCCAAAGACAAGUAAGCAAGCAAAUGGAAUGUACAAGUAAAUGGAAAAUUAGUAUAAUACUCCAUAGAAACUCAAUAUACAUAUUUUCCCAUCUCUCACGAUCUUCUUCUCCACUUUUUAUCAAAGCAAUGGGAGACAACUUUGUUCCACACAUUGAGUCUGAUUCAGCUUUAAAUUAAUUAAAUUUGCUUCUGCUUUCUUUUUCUUCUGAGUUGCGUGUCUGGUUCUGAGAAGUUUGAGGAAGGCAUAAAGAGUUCGAAAGCUGACUGUGAUUACGCGUUUGAAGCCCUUUGCGUUUGAUGCUUCCGUAUAAAGGUAUUUUAUUUUUUAAUAACCAUAACUUUGUGGUUGAUGUAUCUACUUUGUGCAUAUUGAGCUGUUGAAUGUGUCUGUUGUUGCAUGUCUUGCCGCCUGCGAGGUGUUUGAUUUUUUGCUCAGUAGAGUGAUGUUUUUACUAUGUUCAGUUUCACUCUUUUAACUUUAGUUUUUAUGCAUAAUCUUUGCGUUCUUCUUGCACAGAACUUCUCUACCUUUCCUAUGUGUCAAAAUGUAAAGCCUUUUACUAGUAUAAAUGAGAAAUUCAAACCCGGAUGACAAAGGAUCUGCAUAGUACAGGAUUGUGUGGCUAUUAUAUACUAGCUGAAAUAUUGCUCAGUAUUUUGGAGUUGAAGUAUUCUGCAAGUUGAGAUUUAAGGUAGUGCAUAUGACAGGGAAUGAGAGAAUGAAGAAGAAGAUAUUUGCUUUAUUUGACUUUGGAUCCGUGGAUAAACAUGUUUUGAUAAUGGUUCCAAAUCCAGAUUCUGCAUGAUAAUCUUCUAGGUGAAUAUCACUUUGCUGCGAUAUUUUAAAUGGGCGUACAAGCAUCAGUUAGAAAAUUACCAUAAUCUUCUUUUUUCUUAAAUGAGAAUUUGAAUGACUUAAUUGGAAACUUGAAACUUUGAAAUCAUCAGGUAUUAAAAAAG